rnacentral:rRNA from 1 species
ACGCUGGCGGCAGGCCUAACACAUGCAAGUCGAGCGGCAGCACGGGUACUUGUACCUGGUGGCGAGCGGCGGACGGGUGAGUAAUGCCUAGGAAUCUGCCUGGUAGUGGGGGAUAACGCUCGGAAACGGACGCUAAUACCGCAUACGUCCUACGGGAGAAAGCAGGGGACCUUCGGGCCUUGCGCUAUCAGAUGAGCCUAGGUCGGAUUAGCUAGUUGGUGGGGUAAUGGCUCACCAAGGCGACGAUCCGUAACUGGUCUGAGAGGAUGAUCAGUCACACUGGAACUGAGACACGGUCCAGACUCCUACGGGAGGCAGCAGUGGGGAAUAUUGGACAAUGGGCGAAAGCCUGAUCCAGCCAUGCCGCGUGUGUGAAGAAGGUCUUCGGAUUGUAAAGCACUUUAAGUUGGGAGGAAGGGCAGUUACCUAAUACGUAUCUGUUUUGACGUUACCGACAGAAUAAGCACCGGCUAACUCUGUGCCAGCAGCCGCGGUAAUACAGAGGGUGCAAGCGUUAAUCGGAAUUACUGGGCGUAAAGCGCGCGUAGGUGGUUUGUUAAGUUGAAUGUGAAAUCCCCGGGCUCAACCUGGGAACUGCAUGCAAAACUGGCAAGCUAGAGUAUGGUAGAGGGUGGUGGAAUUUCCUGUGUAGCGGCGAAAUGCGUAGAUAUAGGAAGGAACACCAGUGGCGAAGGCGACCACCUGGACUGAUACUGACACUGAGGUGCGAAAGCGUGGGGAGCAAAC